rnacentral:rRNA from 1 species
CCAAUAGCGUAUAUUAAAGUUGUUGCAGUUAAAAAGCUCGUAGUUGAAUUUCGGGGUCAGUAGGUUGGUCAUGCCACUGGUAUGUACUGGUCUCACUGAUUCCUCCUUCCUGAUGAACUGUAAUGCCAUUAAUUUGGUGUUGCAGGGAAUCUGGACUGUUACUUUGAAAAAAUUAGAGUGUUUAAAGCAGGCUAACGCCUGAAUACAUUAGCAUGGAAUAAUGAAAUAGGACGUUCGAUCCUAUUUUGUUGGUUUCUAGGAUUGACGUAAUGAUUAAUAGGGAUAGUUGGGGCAUUAGUAUUCAAUUGUCAGAGGUGAAAUUCUUGGAUUUAUUGAAGACUAACUACUGCGAAAGCAUUUGCCAAGGAUGUUUUCAUUAAUCAAGAACGAAAGUUAGGGGAUCGAAGACGAUCAGAUACCGUCGUAGUCUUAACCAUAAACUAUGCCGACUAGGGAUCGGAUGAUGUUAAUUUUUUAAUGACUCAUUCGGCGCCUUACG